AUGCCGCUCCUUCUCCUCCUGCUCGUGCUCCUUCUGCCGGCCGCGCCCGAGGCGACGCCGUCGGCGCUGCUGGGCAUCAACUACGGCCGGGUGGGGAACAACCUCCCACCGACGACCUCCGCCCUGCAGCUCCUCGCCGGCCUGGGCGUCGGCCGCGUCCGCCUCUACGACGCCGACCCGGCCACCCUCCGCUCCUUCGCCAACACGGGCGUCGAGCUCAUCGUCGGCGUCCCCGACGAGUGCCUCGCCGCCGUCCCCACCCCCUCCGGCGCCUCCGCCUGGGUCCGCUCCGUCAUCCAGCCGGCGCUCCCGGCCACCAAGAUCGCCGUCCUCACCGUCGGCAACGAGGUGCUCACGGGCGCCAACAGCUCCGCGCUCACGCCGUCGCUGCUCCCGGCCAUGCAGUGCAUCCACGACGCGCUCGCGCAGCUCGGCCUCGACAAGCAGGUCGCGGUCACCACCGCGCACAACCUCGGCGUGCUCGCCACGUCCUACCGGCCCUCGUCGGCAUACUUCCGCAAGGACCUCCUCCCGGUGCUCUGUCCGAUCCUCGACUUCCACGCGCGCACCGGCUCGCCGUUCCUCGUGAACGCCUACCCCUACUUCGCGUACGCCGAGGACCCCGCCGGCGUGGAGCUCGAGUACGCCCUGCUCGAGCCCGGCCACGACGGCGUCCCUGACCCGUCCUCCGGGCUGCGCUACCCCAACAUGCUGGUGGCCCAGGUGGACGCCGUGUACCACGCGAUCGCGGCGGCCAACCGUGGCGCGGCGGCGCGCGCGGUGGAGGUGCGCGUGUCGGAGACCGGGUGGCCGUCGGCCGGCGACGGCAACGAGACGGGUGCGACGCCGCGAGGUACAACGGCAACGUGA
rnacentral:rRNA from 1 species